GGCCAUAGCUCGGUGGUAGAACAUUUGCUUUACACUCAGAAGGUUCAAGGUUCAAUCCCUGGGAGUGUCC